rnacentral:lncRNA from 1 species
ACUUCUGACCGUUUUCAUAUUUGGUUGAAAGUCAAUGUAUUGAAUUGGGGUCUAAAUUCCUUUAAAAUUAAUAAUUGUUAGUUUGAUCAUCCUAGCAUUACGGAGUUUACAGAGAAUGAGCAGAAGUCCUUAGUAGCAGGUUCUUAGGCAUUUGUCGUUAAAGAAAAACUCAAAAGGUUAAAGGAUAUACUAAGGUGGUUGAAUAGGGAAAUUUUUU